UGGGGAAUAUUGCGCAAUGGGCGAAAGCCUGACGCAGCAACGCCGUGUGAGUGAUGAAGGCCUUCGGGUCGUAAAGCUCUGUCGGAGGGAACGAAUGCUCCUGAAGUUAACAGCCUCAGGAGGUGACGGUACCCUCAAAGGAAGCACCGGCUAACUCUGUGCCAGCAGCCGCGGUAAUACAGAGGGUGCAAGCGUUGUUCGGAAUCAUUGGGCGUAAAGGGCGUGUAGGCGGUAUGUCAAGUCAGGUGUGAAAUCCCCGAGCUUAACUUGGGAAUUGCGCUUGAAACUAGAUCGCUAGAGUACGGCAGAGGGGGGUAGAAUUCCACGUGUAGCAGUGAAAUGCGUAGAGAUGUGGAGGAACACCGAUGGCGAAGGCAGCCCCCUGGGCCUGUACUGACGCUCAUGCAUGAAAGCGUGGGGAGCAAACAGGAUUAGAUACCCAUGUAGUCCCUGAGCGGGCUGGCAAGGCGCAU
rnacentral:rRNA from 1 species